rnacentral:rRNA from 1 species
GACGAACGCUGGCGGCGUGCUUAACACAUGCAAGUCGAACGGAAAGGCCCUGCUUUUGUGGGGUGCCCGAGUGGCGAACGGGUGAGUAACACGUGAGUAACCUGCCCUUGACUUUGGGAUAACUUCAGGAAACUGGGGCUAAUACCGGAUAGGAGCUCCUGCUGCAUGGUGGGGGUUGGAAAGUUUCGGCGGUUGGGGAUGGACUCGCGGCUUAUCAGCUUGUUGGUGGGGUAGUGGCUUACCAAGGCUUUGACGGGUAGCCGGCCUGAGAGGGUGACCGGCGAGAGGGGGACGGAGACACGGCACGGACGCCGACGGGAGGCAGCAGGGGGGAAUAGGGGAAAAUGGGCGGAAGCUUGAGGCAGAAACGCCGCGUGGGGGAUGAGGGCGUGAGGGUUGUAAACCGCGUUCGACGGGGACGAAGCGGUAGUGACGGUAAGGGGUAAAGAAGAACCGGCUAACUACGUG